rnacentral:rRNA from 1 species
GCGCAGCAGUCGCGAAUCUUCCACAAUGGGGAAACCCUGAUGGAGCGACGCCGCGUGCGGGAUGAAGGCCCUAUGGGUUGUAAACCGCUGUUCAGUGGAAAGAACAUCCUCCGGCUGAGUAGGUCGGAGGCCUGACGUUACCACUGCAGAAAGUCCCGGCCAACUCCGUGCCAGCAGCCGCGGUAAUACGGGGGGACGGAGCGUUGUCCGGAAUCAUUGGGCGUAAAGGGACGCGUAGGCGGCGAGGAAAGUCGUAUGUGAAAUCUUGCGGCGUCAACUAGCAAAACUAGCGUUCGAAACUUACCUCGCUUGAGUAUGAGAGAGGUGUGCGGAAUUCCUGGUGUAGCGGUGGAAUGCGUAGAUAUCAGGAGGAAC